rnacentral:rRNA from 1 species
GACGAACGCUGGCGGCGCGCCUAACACAUGCAAGUCGAACGGAGUCACGAGGAGCUUGCUUUUCUUGACUUAGUGGCGAACGGGUGAGUAACGCGUGAGUAACCUGCCCUGGAGUGGGGGACAACAGUUGGAAACGACUGCUAAUACCGCAUAAGCCCACGGAUCUGCAUGGAUCUGCGGGAAAAGGAUUUAUUCGCUCUAGGAUGGACUCGCGUCCAAUUAGCUAGUUGGUGAGGUAACGGCCCACCAAGGCGACGAUUGGUAGCCGGACUGAGAGGUUGAACGGCCACAUUGGGACUGAGACACGGCCCAGACUCCUACGGGAGGCAGCAGUGGGGGAUAUUGCACAAUGGGGGAAACCCUGAUGCAGCGACGCCGCGUGGAGGAAGAAGGUUUUCGGAUUGUAAACUCCUGUCGUGAGGGACGAUAAUGACGGUACCUAACAAGAAAGCACCAGCUAACUACGUG